rnacentral:tRNA from 1 species
UCCCUGGUGGUCUAGUGGUUAGGACUCUGUGCUUCCAAUGCAGGGGCCACAGGUUUGAUCCCUGGUUAGGGAA